CGACAGGAUGCUAAUCCCAAAAACCUCUCUCAGUUCGGAUCGAAGUCUGCAACCCGACUUCGUGAAGCUGGAUUCGCUAGUAAUCGCGCAUCAGCCAUGGCGCGGUGAAUACGGUUCCCGGGCCUUGUACACACCGCCCGUCAAGCCAUGAAAGCCGGGGGUACCUGAAGUACGUAACCGCAAGGAGCGUCCUAGGGUAAAACUGGUAAUUGGGGCUAAGUCGUAACAAGGUAAC
rnacentral:rRNA from 1 species